ensembl:lncRNA
UGGAAACCGGGUCCAAAUGGCUCUUUGGGUGUUAAAGGUUGCUGACCCCUGGUCUAGCCCUUGUACCUCAAUAUUUUCAGAGUAUUUAUUUAUUUUAGCCAUUUUGUUUAUUUGGUUAGCCUUUUUUUUUUUUUUUUUUAAAUUUAGAGACUGCGUUGGUUUGGACAUGUGCAAAGGAGGGACAGUGGAAUGAUGUUGAAUAUGGAGCUUCCAGGAGGAGAAGCGGAAUACUCAGAGGAUAAAGUGGUAAUGAAGGACAUGCAGAGGGCUGGUGUGACAGAAGAGGCAAAUAAUCUGCUGUGGUGACAGAUAAAGGGAGCAGCUGAAGGAAGAGAUAAAAGGGAAACUUGGCAAAGAACCUGUUUCAACCUCCUAAGACCCGAACUCUUCCACGGCAUGCAUUUUUAAUUUCUCUUUGAUAUUUGGGCUGAUUGGGAACUGAGAAAUGUAAAAACGAAGAAUUACCAGAUUUUUUUUUAACUUAAUUUUUCUUUCCAAGAAAAAUGAGAGCCACAUAUAUAUUCAUUUAAAAUUUCGACAGAACAGUAGCAGUAUAAUGUCCUCGUAAGUGGAUAUCAAGCCCUUGUAGAGCAAAAUUUAGUAUUUUGGUCUAUAUAACCCAAAAUGUGAUGUCCACAUAUGUGGACAAAAGGUCCUAGGAGGUUAAUAUAGGAGCUUUUGGCAUGCUGUUAUACAACAGCCUGUUGCAACAACACACAAUUUGUUCCCAUUUAACUAAUCUACAAAAAAUUGCAUUUUGGGAGUAUUUUAGUAUUAUUUAGUAAUUUAUCACCAAAAAGGUGAUUCAGGCUGGGCAGAAGAAUGAAAGUAGGUUGUUGGGUUUUUUUUUGCCUUAUAUACUUUAUUUCCAUGUAUCUUUGCAUAUGUUCCAAUAAAUUGCUGUAGCUUUUUCCCAUUUUUCUAGCAAAAUAUAAUGAAAUUAGGGCAAUCUCAAGACCUCUGCACAGUAGUGCAAAUCUGUGAGUGAAUACUGAUUGUGUGGCAAUGUUAUAUAUUCUACUGCAGGGUAAAUAACAGAUGUUUACUUACACAUUUGCCUUGUAGAGUUAAAAAGAAUAUGACAAACACAAAAUGUGGUUAUGUGC